rnacentral:sRNA from 1 species
UUGACAGAACUGCAGACUGAAGUCCUUCAAUCACCCGGAACAAGUACAGCUCAGACAGCAGCCAGGCAAGCUUCCCCAUUUUAGUCCAUCACAUCUCAACUCUAUUUUGAAGGAAUCACCACAAUGGGAAAAGAGAUAGUUUGGUCAUGCCCAUUUAAUCCUUCACCUCC